rnacentral:rRNA from 1 species
ACGGGUGAGUAACGCGUAGGGAUCUGCCUUUUAGUGAGGAAUACCCUCGAGAAAUCGAGAUUAAUACUGCAUAAGUCUAGAAAUAGAGAAAGAUGGCCUCUUUGCUGUCGCUAAAAGAUGAACCUGCGUACUAUUAGCUAGUUGGUGGGGUAAAGGCCUACCAAGGCGAUGAUGGUUAGCCGGCCUGAGAGGGUGUACGGCCACACUGGAACUUAGACACGGUCCAGACUCCUACGGGAGGCAGCAGUGAGGAAUAUUGCGCAAUGGGCGAAAGCCUGACGCAGCGACGCCGCGUGGAGGAUGAAGGUCUUAGGAUUGUAAACUUCUGUUAAGUGGGAAGAAAGAUAAGGUUCUAAUACAGCCUUAUUAUGACGGUACCAUUAGAGAAAGCACCGGCUAAACUCGUGCCAGCAGCCGCGGUAAUACGAGUGGUGCGAGCGUUAUUCGGAUUUAUUGGGCGUAAAGGGUGCGCAGGCGGUAUGUUAAGUCAGUUGUUAAAUCCUCCAGCCUAACUGGAGAUCAGCAGCAGAUACUGGCAUGCUUGAGGGUGGAAGAGAGAAGUGGAAUUCUUGGAGUAGCGGUAAAAUGC